rnacentral:rRNA from 1 species
UACGUAGGGGGGCGAGCGUUGUCCGGAUUUAUUGGGCGUAAAAGGCUUGUAGGUGGCCACGUCAAGUCGGAUGUGAAAUCUCCCGGCUCAACUGGGAGGGGUCAUUCGAUACUGCCGGACUAGAGUUCGGAAGAGGCGAGUGGAAUUCCCGGUGUAGCGGUGAAAUGCGCAGAUAUCGGGAGGAACACCGGUGGCGAAGGCGGGUCUCUGGGCCGUAACUGACGCUGAGGAGCGAAAGCGUGGGGAGCGAACAGG